UACGAAGGGGGCUAGCGUUGCUCGGAAUCACUGGGCGUAAAGCGCACGUAGGCGGCUUCUUAAGUCAGGGGUGAAAUCCUGGAGCUCAACUCCAGAACUGCCUUUGAUACUGAGGAGCUUGAGUCCGGGAGAGGUGAGUGGAACUGCGAGUGUAGAGGUGAAAUUCGUAGAUAUUCGCAAGAACACCAGUGGCGAAGGCGGCUCACUGGCCCGAUACUGACGCUGAGGCACGAAAGCGUGGGGAGCAAACAGGG
rnacentral:rRNA from 1 species